AUGGCUGCUGUCGGCGCGAAGGCGGUGCCGCCCACUCUGCUGUCGCUGUGCCUGCAAGCGGUCGCCGCACAUCUCACCGCCGACGCAGCAGGCGCGGGUCGAUCUGGUGGUCGCGGUGCUCAUUUCGACGGGCUCGUCCAGGAGCACGAGGAGGAGGAGGAGGAGGAGGAUGGCGGCCACCUCGCGCCGGAGCAGGUCGCGGAGGCGCUGCCUUGGGAGCUUCUCCAUCAGCUGGCGUCUUCUCUGCCGCCGUUCGCUCUCGAACUGCUCCAUCACGGCGCCCAUGCCCGAUGCUGCUCUUCCACUUCCCUUACGGAUCCGGACGGCAAUAGACGUGGGACUAAACGUUCAAGGUGUGAAGACUUCAACACUGCAUGGCAGGCAUUGUUCGAAUUUCGCUGGCCCCUCCAUGAUAACACUGGACAUGAUGACUUGGUUACUGUAGAUUGGCAGCAGCGAUACUGGGAAAAGCAUUUGCAAGAGUGCCUGGAUGAAGCUGCCGAGGCUGCGUUGCUUCCUUUAUUUCGUGGUAGUAUUGGUGAGCUAAGUAUGUCAGAUAAAAUCAUGAGUUCCGUUUACCUCAGUGAGAACAUAGCCCAACAGUAUUCCAGACUGUCAUAUCAUUGGACCAUACUUGGAUCUUAUGCAAGGUGCUUGAGAUUUCAAAAUGUGCUUUGCACAGCCGAAGUUUGUGACAUGUUGCAACAUAGCAGGCUAGAAACGUUGGUGUUCGUAAGAGUCAUAUCAGAGCUUGAGGUAAAUGGUGUAUGCCUGCUUCUGAGCUGCCAUGCAAAGACACUAUUAUCUCUUGAAUUUAUCCACUGCCAGCUUUAUCCUGCAGUCAUGGAUAAAGUUUGCACUAGUCUUCGCCAGCCAGGAUCCCAAAACUACAAGAUCCAGUCCUUUAGUAUUAAAUCAUCUCGCAUUGAUGAAAGCAAGUCUCUAACCACCUCUGCUGGUCUAUUAAAUCUUCUGUCAUAUGCAAAGUCGCUGCAGUUGCUGUCAUUUAACGAUGUUAAGAUGCAGCCAUCAUUUGCUAAGAUGAUUAUUCAUACUCUCCUUGAAUCUUCCUCUGGUUUACAAACGCUUGACUUGUCAGAAAACAAUCUUGCAGGCUGGCGUUCUACUGUAGACAGAAGUUCUACAAGUUUCUCAUCAGCACUGAAGUCAAAUACAUCCUUGAACUCCUUGACUGUUCUUAACCUAAGGGGAAACAAUUUGCAGGAGGGGGACAUGGAGUAUAUAUGCAAUAUUCUAGCAAAGAUGUCUAAUUUGAGAAGUUUAGAUAUAAGUGACAAUCCAAUCACUGAUGAGGGUAUCAGAUACCUUAUUCCUUUCUUUGAAUUAGCUCUUCAAAGGGGGAAUCCAAUUCGGAAAUUAAGAGCAGAGAACUGCGAUUUGUCCAGUAUUGGUGUGACUAAACUUCUUGAGUGCCUCACACCGAUUGAUAAACCACUUGAUAUGCUGUCUAUAGCAGAUAAUCAUCUUGGGAGUUCUGUGGCAGCUACAUUAGUAAAAUUCCUGGGUUCACAUGUAAGGGAGCUCAAUGUUGAAGACAUCGGCCUAGGACCACUAGGCUUCCAAAUACUUGAGAAAGCAUUGCCAAGGAAAGUAAAUCUCUCCCACAUCAACAUCAGUAAGAACCGCGGUGGGAUGGGUACUGCGCACUUCAUUUCCAGGCUGAUACUGCAAGCAUCAAACCUUGUAUCAGUCGAUGCAGGAUCUAACCUUUUACCUCCUGAAUCGUUGGAAGUGAUUUGUAAUGCAUUGAAGCAAACAACAUGUAACUUGACGCGAAUAGACCUGAUGGGCAACCUGCAAUUGUCAAGUGCUAUCUUCCCUGCAGUCUUUGAGUUCAAGAAGCGCGGAAAGCCAAUCCUGCUUGUUCCGUCGCAGCAAGGUAGCUGUGCUCCCUAUGAUGCCGACCCGUAA
rnacentral:rRNA from 1 species